rnacentral:sRNA from 1 species
AGACAAUUACUACGGUACCCCAAAGCCGCCAGCAGAACCAGCACCAUUAUUGUUAAAUGUAACAGACCAGAUACUUCCAGGAGCCACUCCAAGUGCUGAAGGAAAACGGAAGAGGAAUAAAUCAGUGAGCAACAUGGAGAAAGCCAGUAUAGAGCCUCCUGAGGAGGAAGAGGAAGAGAGGCCUGUAGUCAAUGGAAAUGGAGUAGUAGUAACACCAGCACAGUGUCUCUGCCCUGCCUUCAUGUUCUUCACAUUCUUCACAUUCACCAGACACCAGAUUUCAAAGAAGACUGAGAAGCAUGUUCCUAGCCAGGUGCGGAGGCUCAUGCCUGUAACCCCAGCACUUUGGGAGGUCAAGGCAGGCGGAUCACUUUCAUAGGAGUUUGAGACCAGCCUGGGCAACAUGGCAAAACCCCAUCUCUGCAAAACACACACACACACACAAAAAUUAGCCAGGCAUGGGGCACACACCUGUAGUCCCAGCUUCUUGGGAGGCUGAGCUGGGAGAAUCACCUGAGCCCAAGGAGGUCAAGUUGCAGUGAGCCAUGAUGGUGCCACUGCACUUCAGCCUGGGCAACAGAGUGAGACCUCGUCUCAAACAAACAAAAAGAGAGAGAGAAACAUGUCACUUAAAUUUUAGUUAACGCUGCCCUAUAUCAACUAACUAUAGUAAUAAUUAAUAUCAGACUUCAAUUCAGAGCAUAAAUAUUAUAAUCAAUGAGGCACAUUUGGAGAAUAUAAAAAGCAUAUUGAGGUAACAUUAUUCCAUUACAAAGGAAUAUUGAUAAUAGUAAUAAGCAAUAAAAUAAUUCACUUCUUUUGA